AUUGAACGCUGGCGGAAUGCUUUACACAUGCAAGUCGAACGGUAGAGGGGGCAACCCCUCGAGAGUGGCGAACGGGUGAGUAAUAUAUCAGAACGUGCCCAGUCGUGGGGGAUAACGUAGCGAAAGUUACGCUAAUACCGCAUACGAUCUAAGGAUGAAAGCGGGGGAUCGCAAGACCUCGCGCGAUUGGAGCGGCCGAUAUCAGAUUAGGUAGUUGGUGGGGUAAAGGCUCACCAAGCCAACGAUCCGUAGCUGGUCUGAGAGGACGACCAGCCACACUGGAACUGAGACACGGUCCAGACUCCUACGGGAGGCAGCAGUGGGGAAUUUUGGACAAUGGACGCAAGUCUGAUCCAGCCAUUCCGCGUGCAGGAUGAAGGCCCUCGGGUUGUAAACUGCUUUUGUACGGAACGAAAAGGUCUCUCUUAAUACGGGGGACUCAUGACGGUACCGUAAGAAUAAGCACCGGCUAACUACGUGCCAGCCGCCGCAGUAA
rnacentral:rRNA from 1 species